GAAUCUUUUCCAAGUUACUUUAUGCCCCGAGGAGUCAGUACACCUGUUGGUCCUGCUCCUCCAGUGUGCUGGGCAGGGCAGGCAGGCAGGACUUACGAUGUCUCACAACCAUCAAGCUCAUUACUAAUCGUUUUGCCAUCCAACUCACAGCUGAAUUCCUCCUAUGUUAUACUACCAAAUCCUUUCUCCUCUUCCAAUCCCUCCAGUUGGAGUGCGCCAUCAACUGGUAGUGGCUCUACUUUCAGCUCAUGCUCCGGUUACAGAUCUUGGCCAUUCAGUAGUUUUUGGUCUUCCAGUCCCUCUGACUCAUCCUCCAGUUUUGGAUCACGCAGAGCCUAUUCUCUGCCUUCGCUCAGAUCUUUUCUGAACCAGAAUAUCUCAGCCAGAAGCAGAAGAAAUCUGUCUUGACUGUGACAGUUUUCUGAUGGAAUAUCCUAGCCUCUCCUCAGAAGGAAAAAGCUCUAGAAAUCUAAAAAAAGCUAAUUAAAGUACAGCUUUACCAACCUAUGUAUUGUAGAUCAGCGUAUCUUUUUGUCUUUAAUUUCAUAUUUUUAUGAAAAUGUGCAUUCACAUCUUCACAUUUCGUAGUUUUUAAUUAUUCAUAGACCAAAACACUUUUAAAACUCUUAUUUAUUGCAGUUGUUAAUUUUUUUAUAGUAUAUUUUAAAAUGUUCUAGAACAACACCUUUUGGGUAGUUUUCCUUAUUCCUAAAAAGCAAAUCCACAAGCCAUUUUAGUCUCUCUCUCUCCAAGUUGUUUCAUGCCUGUCUAUUUUAAACCAGGACUAAAAUACUUUAAUAGGGUUGAGAGGUAUCCAUUAAAUGUAUACCAGCGAUUCCUCUUGUGGAAUGUCACAGCCCUGACAUGAGUAUUUUUUUUUUUUUUUUCUCUCAUCAGCUCAGCUGCAGACACAUAUUUGAUUGCAAACUUAAGAAAGAUGAGCAAAAAUAAGAACAAUGUGAUGGGCCUUUGGGAGCACCCUUGCUGAUCUUUCUGCUUUUUCAGUUGAGCAACACUCUCAUCCAGGCAAACAGAUUGCACUCAGUAAUACAUAAUCAUUUGGCAGGAACUCUGUUGAUUUCUAGGAACAGCUGGAGGCCUUUAUCUCCACAGGAUGUUUUGGUUUUCCCACACUUGGGUUUUGGAUGCAAAUACCAUUGUCCCUGCUUUCUUGCAUAGAAGUCUCAUGGCUGGGCAAAAACUGCCCAGUGGGCCAUAUUCCAAAG
rnacentral:lncRNA from 1 species